rnacentral:misc_RNA from 1 species
CAACCCUCACGCGUAGCGUGGUCUUGGGCACUGCCGGCAACGGCUUGCCUUAAAAUCAGUGGCGGUGCCAUCGAGCUCUACGCGUAGUAAUAAACCCCUCGCGUGUGAGUCUCGGCGGUCGCUUGCCAGCAACCCCCAAUUUUUUAUGG